CAUUAAGUAAGCCACCUGGGGAGUACGUUCGCAAGAAUGAAACUCAAAGGAAUUGACGGGGGCCCGCACAAGCGGAGGAACAUGUGGUUUAAUUCGAUGAUACGCGAGGAACCUUACCAGAGCUUAAAUGUAGAGUGCCCGGCAUGGAGGCAUGUCUUUUCUUCGGAACACUUUACAAGGUGCUGCAUGGUUGUCGUCAGCUCGUGCCGUGAGGUGUCGGGUUAAGUCCCAUAACGAGCGCAACCCCUAUCGUUAGUUGCUAGCAGGUAAUGCUGAGGACUCUAGCGAGACUGCCGGUGUAAACCGUGAGGAAGGUGGGGAUGACGUCAAAUCAGCACGGCCCUUAUGUUCUGGGCUACACACGUGUUACAAUGGAUGGUACAAAGAGCAGCUACCUAGUGAUAGGAUGCUAAUCUUCAAAGCCAUUCUCAGUUCGGAUUGGAGUCUGCAACUCGACUCCAUGAAGUUGGAUUCGCUAGUAAUCGUAGAUCAGCAACGCUACGGUGAAUACGUUCCCGGGCCUUGUACACACCGCCCGUCAAGCCAUGGAAGUUGGAAGUGCCUGAAGACUGUUGCCGCAAGGGACGGUUUAGGGUAAAGCUGAUAACUGGGGCUAAGUCGUAACAAGGUAGCCGU
rnacentral:rRNA from 1 species